UACGUAGGGUGCGAGCGUUGUCCGGAAUUAUUGGGCGUAAAGAGCUUGUAGGCGGUUUGUCGCGUCUGCUGUGAAAAUCCGGGGCUCAACCCCGGACUUGCAGUGGGUACGGGCAGACUAGAGUGUGGUAGGGGAGACUGGAAUUCCUGGUGUAGCGGUGGAAUGCGCAGAUAUCAGGAGGAACACCGAUGGCGAAGGCAGGUCUCUGGCCAUUACUGACACUGAGAAGCGAAAGCCAGGGGAGCAAACGGG
rnacentral:rRNA from 1 species